rnacentral:rRNA from 1 species
UUUUGAGUUUGAUCGUGGCUCAGGAUGAACGCUAGCGGGAGGCCUAACACAUGCAAGCCGAGCGGUAGAUUACUUUCGGGUAAUUGAGAGCGGCGUACGGGUGCGGAACACGUGUGCAACCUGCCUUUAUCAGGGGGAUAGCCUUUCGAAAGGAAGAUUAAUACCCCAUAAUAUAUUAUUCGGCAUCGGGUGAUAUUGAAAACUACGGUGGAUAGAGAUGGGCACGCGCAAGAUUAGCUAGUUGGUGAGGUAACGGCUCACCAAGGCGACGAUCUUUAGGGGGCCUGAGAGGGUGAUCCCCCACACUGGUACUGAGACACGGACCAGACUCCUACGGGAGGCAGCAGUGAGGAAUAUUGGACAAUGGGUGGAAGCCUGAUCCAGCCAUCCCGCGUGCAGGAAGACGGCCCUAUGGGUUGUAAACUGCUUUUAUCUGGGGAUAAACCUACUUACGUGUAAGUAGCUGAAGGUACCAGAAGAAUAAGCACCGGCUAACUCCGUGCCAGCCGCCGCCGUAACACAAAA